GGUGGGGUUCCCGAGCGGCCAAAGGGAACAGACUGUAAAUCUGUCGUCAUCGACUUCGAAGGUUCGAAUCCUUCCCCCACCACCA
rnacentral:tRNA from 7 species